GACGAACGCUGGCGGCGUGCUUAACACAUGCAAGUCGAACGGAAAGGCCCUGCUUUUGUGGGGUACUCGAGUGGCGAACGGGUGAGUAACACGUGAGUAACCUGCCCUUGACUUUGGGAUAACUUCAGGAAACUGGGGUUAAUUACGGACAGGAGUUCCUGCUGCAUGGUGGGGGAUGGAAAGUUUCGGCGGUUGGGGAUGGACUCGCGGCUUAUCAGCUUGUUGGUGGGGUAGUGGCUUACCAAGGCUUUGACGGGUAGCCGGCCUGAGAGGGUGACCGGCCACAUUGGGACUGAGAUACGGCCCAGUCUCCUACGGGAUGCAGCAGUGGGGAAUAUUGCACAAUGGGCGGAAGCCUGAUGCAGCAACGCCGCGUGCGGGAUAACGGCCUUCGGGUUGUAAACCGCUUUCGCCUGUGACGAAGCGUGAGUGACGGUAAUGGGUAAAGAAGCACCGGCUAACUACGUG
rnacentral:rRNA from 1 species